rnacentral:rRNA from 1 species
UACAGGGGGUGCAAACGUUGCUCGGAAUUAUUGGGCGUAAAGCGCACGUAGGCGGUUCGUUAUGUCAGAUGUGAAAUCCCUGGGCUCAACCGAGGAAGUGCAUCCGAAACUGCUUGGCUAGAAGACGGUAGAGGAAGGUGGAAUUCCUAGUGUAGAGGUGAAAUUCGUAGAUAUUAGGAGGAAUACCGGUGGCGAAGGCGGCCUUCUGGGCCGAUCUUGACGCUGAGACGCGAAAGCGUGGGGAGCAAACAGG